UCAUUUUGCACUGAUACAGCUGGAGAACACAGUGCAUAUAAUGGUCCCAUGAUUUCCAAGUUUAAGGAUCAUAAUGAUUUCUACUCGUAUGUUAAUAUCAAAGGAAUGGUCUUCAAUGGAGAUUGUGUAUACUGGAAACCAAUAAGAACAAUUUGAGACAGAAUUUUACUAUACAAGAGACAGUUGAGAUGCAUUUAUGCCACUAAAUCCACCUAGUAGCCCUCAGCAAGGCAGAAGCCCUAUUGGGUCAUACAGAGACUUAGCAGUGGAGCCAUGAUCACACCCGCAAAAAACACAACCAUCAACUUCAGAAGUUUUACACCAGAAGCAGAAAAAUUCUGUUGCAGUGAAAUCUAUAGCGAGAAGCAGGGAUUCGCUGGUUUCAUAUGGACCAAUUAAAAGCCAGCAAGCCAAGCAGAGUACCCAGUUCACAUGUCAGGAUGAAUGAGUCUUAUUUCAAUAGCGCCCUCUAUGACAGUGUCUGGAGUGCAGUUGAAACAUUGAAUAGUGAAAGU